rnacentral:rRNA from 1 species
UACGUAGGGGGCAAGCGUUGUUCGGAAUUAUUGGGCGUAAAGGGCGCGUAGGCGGCCUGGCAAGUGACGGGUGAAAGCCCUCGGCUCAACCGAGGAACUGCCUGUCAUACUGCCGGGCUUGAGUCCGGGAGAGGUGAGUGGAAUUCCCAGUGUAGCGGUGAAAUGCGUAGAUAUUGGGAGGAACACCAGUGGCGAAGGCGGCUCACUGGACCGGAACUGACGCUGAGGCGCGAAAGCGUGGGGAGCAAACAGGG